CAAAGAUGGAAUGGAGACUUCUGCUUCUGGCCAAGUUGGAGUAAUAGGGACUAGAUUUGUCCUCCACCUUAAACAACUAAGAAACUGGAAAAAGUAUUUUAAACUCUAGCUUCAACAUUGGAUAUAGUGCAGUACAGUACAUUGAUCCCUGAGAGAGAGAAAAUAGAAGAGAUGAGCCCUAUGAUUGCUCCAGUUUGCUGCCUGAGUUUGUCAACUGCAGAGCAGGGAAGGAGGACCCAGGCAGAGCCUGGUAGUAAGUUUGAAGAAGUCAGGGUGGCUAGACAUCACAGGACAGACUAGAGAAUAGGUUGCUGCACAGAGAGAAUGCCUUGGAUAUCUGUGUUCAAUCUUCAGCUAAGUACUUAUUAGUACAUGUAUUUGAGGAAAUUAUGCAAAGCAGGGCAAAGAACUUCCCAAAAGGAAUAAUCUCUGUAGCUCACACAGAGCUUGCAACACUUGGUGUUUCCAUCAGCUAGUGUGAAAAUCCCUUUUAAUAGAGGGAGCAUUGGUUAGAACAGGAGUCCCAAACCCCCAGCACUGGUCCAUGGCCUGUUAGGAAUGGGACCGCACAGCAGGAGGUGAGCAGCCAGCGAGAAAGCAUUACCGCCUGAGCUCAGCCUCCUGUCAGAUCAACGAUGGCAUUAGAUUAGCAUUGGAGCACAAACCCUAUUGUGAACUGUACAUGCCAGGGAUCUAGGUUGCAUGCUCCUUAUGAGACUCUAACUAGUGCCUGAUGAUCUGAGGUGGAACAGUUUCAUACUGAAACCACCCAAUUCCCAACCCCUACCACCCCACCCCCACCUUGUCUGUGGAAAAAUUGUCUUUCAUGCAACCAGUCCCUGGUGCCAAAUCUGUGGGAGAUCACUGGCUUAGAAUCUUCAAAAGAGUAUUGCCCCCAAUGUAAACUAUGGACUUUGUGUGAUAAUGACAUGUCAAUGUAAGUUCAUCAACUGUAACAAAUGUGCCAUUCUGGAGAGAGAUGUUGAUAGUCUAGGAGGCUAUGCAUGUGUGGAGGCAGGGGGUAUAUGGGAACUUUCUGUACUUCCUGCUCAAUUUUGCUGUGAAUCUGAAACUACUCUAAAAAAUAAGGUCUAUUUUCUUAAAGGUCAUUUUGCCUCCAUAGUGGGAAAGAAAAUAGCAGUUGACUAAUAGCUGCUCUUAUCCUGCCUAAAAAAAAUUAAAAAGCCAGCUUGGAAAGAUGAAAA
rnacentral:lncRNA from 1 species